UCUUAUCGAGAGUGGCGGAGGGACUGGCCCUGCGAAGCCCGACAACCAGCACGCGCGUGUAUGGUGUUAAUUCCAGCAGAUUAAAUUCUGGCAGAUAAGA
rnacentral:ncRNA from 1 species